GUAACGUCAGCCGCCAACACAGUUGCAAGAGCGGAAGACGUAGUCUGUGUCAAA
rfam:Wheat leaf yellowing-associated virus isolate JN-T3, complete genome